CAGCAGCCGCGGUAAUACAGAGGGUGCGAGCGUUAAUCGGAUUUACUGGGCGUAAAGCGUGCGCAGGCGGUUAUAUAAGACAGAUGUGAAAUCCCCGGGCUCAACCUGGGAACUGCAUUUGUGACUGUAUAGCUAGAGUACGGCAGAGGGGGAUGGAAUUCCGCGUGUAGCAGUGAAAUGCGUAGAUAUGCGGAGGAACACCGAUGGCGAAGGCAAUCCCCUGGGCCUGUACUGACGCUCAUGCACGAAAGCGUGGGGAGCAAACAGGAUUAGAUACCCCAGUAGUCCCUGUCUCUUAUAA
rnacentral:rRNA from 1 species